rfam:Trichosporon oleaginosus strain IBC0246 unplaced genomic scaffold CC85scaffold_89, whole genome shotgun sequence.
GGCAAUGUGGCGGAGUGGUUAACGCGAUUGACUAGAAUGAGCUAAUCAAUUUCCUUCGGGAGCGCCCGUUCGAGUCGGGUCAUUGUCG